UACGUAGGGUCCGAGCGUUGUCCGGAAUUAUUGGGCGUAAAGGGCUCGUAGGCGGUCUGUUGCGUCGGGAGUGAAAACUUACAGCUUAACUGUGAGCGUACUUCCGAUACGGGCAGACUUGAGGUAUUCAGGGGAGAACGGAAUUCCUGGUGUAGCGGUGAAAUGCGCAGAUAUCAGGAGGAACACCGGUGGCGAAGGCGGCAUCCUGGACCAACACUGACGCUGAGGAGCGAAAGCCAGGGGAGCAAACGGG
rnacentral:rRNA from 1 species